CCCUAUGGGGUGCACCAGGCGGCCGGGUGUGUCAGAUGUGAAAUCCCGAGGCUCAACCUCGGAACUGCGUCUGAAACUACUCGGCUAGAGUAUUGGAGAGGGUAACGGAAUUCACGGUGUAGCAGUGAAAUGCGUAGAUAUCGUGAGGAACACCAGAGGCGAAGGCGGUUACCUGGACAAUUACUGACGCUCAGGCACGAAAGCGUGGGGAGCAAAAG
rnacentral:rRNA from 1 species